CACCGGCAUCCACUCCUGAAAUUCUCAUUCGCUUAUAGAGACAAUACCAUUAGAUUAUUAUAUUUUUCUUUUUGGAAUAGCAAUAGCUGCUCAAUGUAAUUAUGCAACUAAGCAUUUCCAUUAAGCGAAUAAGACUUUAAAGAAGAUUAACUGGAGCUUCUCCUGCUUCCGAUAUAAAGGCAGACCUAAGACAGUGGAUUCCCGACCCGUUAGAACUCUGCAAGUGAUCGUACACUGCUUUUAAAGCAGGAAGUCCUUAACAGAAAUGUAACACUUUUGCUUUCUGUAUAGUCUACAGAAGAAUGCAGUCAGAAUCAGAAAUGAAGAAUUCUGGAAGUGAAAUGCUGCUAGGAAUUACUUGCACGAAAGAAAUUUUUUUGUAUUCUUUGAUAUACACUGUUUCCCUAUUUCUGCGUUCCCUUCCGCACCAACUUAUUCACUUCCAGAAGACUGGUUAGAUUUGUUUCAGCCUUCAAUUGUCUCUGUAAAUCCCAUUAUGAGCAAAAAAGAAGAAGGACUCUGGCCAUGAUGUUCAAGGGCAUUCUUAGAUUGAGGAAACACAGGCAUCCCAGGAUCGUCUUAGCUGUGUGAAAAGCUGAACUGCGCUGAUGGUGUCUGUUCUGUGUGGGCAAGGAGGACGGACGCAUGGAAAGGCUCCUGUCUGGAAUGAAGGUUGUCAGCACCAAUUGGUCCCCCCAGGCAGAAUUAGAUAAGAUGCAGCUGUAUCUGUCCCAGUUGCCUAGUUCCCUUUUGGCAUAAAACCGCACAGGCAGCCAGCUCAGUGAACCCACCAGGUUGGAAGGUGUAUAUAAUGAGGCUAAAACAUAAGGCGAAGAAAUAAAUAAACACAAACACUGUUUAGCUUGCCAUCUUUUAGGGCAGUGGACAUUUUGUAGCAGAGAAGACCCUUUGUGAGGAAUGGACCAAUCACCAGCACUUUGGUCCAUUGUGAAAGCAAAGCAGAGGGGAGUUUUUGCUCCCUUCUCUUUGGGGACCGCCGAUAAUGUUUUUCCUGUUAUAUAAAAAAAAAAGUUUACAUGCUGCAGAAGGGAAAGUGUGGGCUUUUGUUAUUAAUGUUGUAGAAAUACAAAUAUGUCCACCUAAGAAAAGGAGUCUUCAUUAACUCCCA